UCACUCUUGUUUCUCUUCAGAUCGUGUAAAUCUUUCGCCUUUUACUAAAGAUUUCCGUGGAGAGAAAAAACUAGAGUAACAUAAAAAUUUUUGGUACCCUGCUGUUCAGUAGGGU
ensembl:snRNA U5 U5 spliceosomal RNA